rnacentral:rRNA from 1 species
AUCGAACGCUGGCGGCAGGCCUAAUACAUGCAAGUCGAGCGGAGCGGCGGACGGGGGAGUAAUGCCUAGGAAUCUGCCCGGGAGUGAGGGAUAACGUACGGAAACGGGAGCUAAUACAGCAUACUAUCAGAUCAGCUUAGGUCGGAUUAGAUAGUUGGUGGGGUAAUGGCCUACCAAGGCGCCGAUCCAGAACCGGUCUGAGAGGAUGAUCAGUCACACUGGGACUGAGACACGGUCCAGACUCCUACGGGAGGCAGCAGUGGGGAAUAUUGGGCAAUGGGCGAAAGCCUGAUCGAGCCAUGCCGCGUGGGUGAAGAAGGUUUUCGGAUUGUAAAGCACUUUGGGUAGAGAGGCGUUAUCAACAGAGUAAGCACCGGCUAACUUCGUGCCAGCAGCCGCGGUAAUAC